rnacentral:lncRNA from 1 species
AAGAUUGUAUGCACCAAAACAGAAUUGUUAAAUAAAUUGGUAACUACCUUAGGGGCCUUGAAGAGUUCAAGGGGCAUCGUUCUCACUGUCGAGCUGGUUUCUACUUCCAAGAGAGAGUCUAUUUGGAAGAAGAAAAAGCCUGCGAAGAAACAGAAGACCGAGAAAAUGCCAAAUAAGAAAGUUCCAAGAAAAAGGCCAAUUGCAAGGAAAAAUGUUUCCAUUGCAUCAUGGACGGCCAUUGGAAGAGGAACUGUCCUACAUACAUGGG